rnacentral:rRNA from 1 species
GACGAACGCUGGCGGCGCGCUUAACACAUGCAAGUCGAGCGAGAACCAGCCCUUCGGGGCUUGGGGACAGCGGCGAACGGGUGAGUAACACGUGGGUAAUCUGCCCUUGACAUCGGGAUAGCCCGGGGAAACCCGGAUUAAUACCGAAUAGCCUCCGGAGCCUUCGGGCGCCGGAGAAAAGGUAGCUUCGGCCUCUGGUCAAGGAUGAGCCCGCGGCGGAUUAGCUUGUUGGCGGGGUAACGGCCCACCAAGGCGACGAUCCGUAGCUGGUCUGAGAGGAUGAUCAGCCACACUGGGACUGAGACACGGCCCAGACUCCUACGGGAGGCAGCAGUGGGGAAUCUUGCGCAAAUGCGGGAAACCGUGACGCAGCGACGCCGCGUGGGGGAAGAAGGCCUUCGGGUUGUAAACCUCUUUCAGGAGGGACGAAGGUUCAGGCGCGAACAGCGUCCUGGACUGACGGUACCUCCAGAAGAAGCCCCAGCUAACUACGUGCCAGCAGCCGCCGUAAUAC